GAUGAACGCUGGCGGCGUGCCUAAUACAUGCAAGUCGAGCGAACGGACGAGAAGCUUGCUUCUCUGAUGUUAGCGGCGGACGGGUGAGUAACACGUGGAUAACCUACCUAUAAGACUGGGAUAACUUCGGGAAACCGUAGCUAAUACCGGAUAAUAUUUUGAACCGCAUGAUUCAAAAGUGAAAGACGGUCUUGCUGUCACUUAUAGAUGGAUCCGCGCUGCAUUAGCUAGUUGGUAAGGUAACGGCUUACCAAGGCAACGAUGCAUAGCCGACCUGAGAGGGGGAUCGGCCACACUGGAACUGAGAAACGGUCCAGACUCCUACGGGAGGCAGCAGUAGGGAAUCUUACGCAAUGGGCGAAAGCCUGACGGAGCAACGCCGCGUGAGUGAUGAAGGUCUUCGGAUCGUAAAACUCUGUUAUUAGGGAAGAACAUAUGUGUAAGUAACUGUGAACAUCUUGACGGUACCUAAUCAGAAAGCCACGGCGAACUACGU
rnacentral:rRNA from 1 species